UACGUAGGGUGCAAGCGUUAAUCGGAAUUACUGGGCGUAAAGCGUGCGCAGGCGGUUAUGCAAGACAGAUGUGAAAUCCCCGGGCUCAACCUGGGAACUGCAUUUGUGACUGCAAAGCUAGAGUACGGCAGAGGGGGAUGGAAUUCCGCGUGUAGCAGUGAAAUGCGUAGAUAUGCGGAGGAACACCGAUGGCGAAGGCAAUCCCCUGGGCCUGUACUGACGCUCAUGCACGAAAGCCAGGGGAGCAAACGGG
rnacentral:rRNA from 1 species